GUGUCAAUACAAUCAAACUCUGAAGUACUACAGACGUCUUUAGUACUGAGUAAAAGCUAUUUAAGUUCGGUGAAACAAAAGUGGAAGAGGAAGCUGCAGGAAGGGGUGGAUCCUCCCACUGGGUGUGGUUCAGCACAUAACAAGGCAUUGUGGAAGUGAUCACAACCCUGUUUAGGAUCAACUUUCAGCGGCACACGACUUCAGUAUUCCUGACUCACACAACAACAACAACAACAACAAAAACAUGGUCCACAUCAGCAUUGAGUACUGUGGUGCCUGAGGGUACGGGUCCAGGUAUCAAGCCCUGGCACGUGAACUCCAGCAGAAGAUUCCUGGUGUGCAGGUUUCUGGCAAAGUUGGAAGGAGAGGCAGCUUUGAGGUGAUGGUGGACAACAUGCUGGUUUACUCCAAACUGGCCACUGGAGAGUUCCCCACUGCCAGCGAGAUUGUAGUCCAAAUGCGGGCGAUAGCUGGAUGCAGAAUGUAAACGCUGGAUACUGGGGAACCAGAGCGUGAUGGGAGCGAGUCCACGAGGCCGGACGCCGACUUCCUUCUUUGAAUGACUGUGCACGCUGAAAAGCAGAAAAGGCGCACACACGAUGUAUAUGUUUAGAAGGUUUUUAGCGGAUCCGGGGUCAGUGGAAGUGUUCUCAUCGUGACAGUCUGGUGUACUAAAACUUACAAGCGGUGGCGGGAAAAAAUACUAACUUUAGUUCCAAACGUGUAGCAAACCAUUGGUUACCAAUUUUUAUCCCUUUUUUAAUCUAAAAAUAAUGUGCAAUUUGCACAAUCAAUACUUAAAAAUCCGCUUGUUGAGACAUCUUCAUGCAACAGGGUUUCAACAGCAAAUUUAAUGUAAUACUUUUUUAAUGCAUGGCAACGUAAAUGUAACGCCCGUAUCCUAAUGCACAUCGUUAUUAUAUAUUAUCAAAAGUUUACAAUUGUCCGUAUGAACAAAGUUGUAAGCAUUUCACAAGCAUGAUGAAUUGUUAACAUUAACUGGCCUAAUUAGAUAGAUGGAUAGUACAUUAUUGAUUCCUUCAGGAGUCUUCCCUCAGGAAAAUUUAAAUUCCAGCAGCAGUGUACAGAAUUGAGAUAUAAUUUAAAAAGUAAAUAAUGGGGGUGUAAAUGAAAAUAAAAUAGAAAACAUUACAAUAAGAAUAAAAAUUAAAAGCAACAAUAAGAAUAAAAAUAUAAAUGUAAACAUAGGAAUAUAACAAGAGAAACUAGGCAGUAGUGACCAUGUUAUGAAAAUGUAUUGCACUGUUUUUCGUUGCCACAAUUAAAUUAAGCGGUAAUCAUAAUACAUAAUACUAAUGCAAGUAAACCUUUCAAACAUAAUCAGCAUCUUUUUAAACUACUGCAGUAUUUUUACAAUUCUAAUUUUAAGGAUAAUAACGUCAUUAGCCCAAAGACAGUAAGUAAACAAUAUGUAAAAACAAAUAAAAUAGACUCCCAAUCUCUAACAAAAUGUGCAGUUUUUUCCCCCCUCUUUUGGAAAAACUGGGUCAGGUGUUUUGUUUUGCCUUUUUUGUUGCCAUCCUGGUGUCCUGAAAAAAAAAUGUGCUGCUUCAUAAAAAUAAUGUAAGCAUUUACAUAAUUAAUAAGGGACGAAUUUGGUUGAAAUUUUAAGAAAAUGUCCGAAAUAGCUCAUGGAAAAAGUGCUUAUGUAGUUUCUAUUAUUCAUAGUUGAGCUUGUCAAAAAUACUUUUGGUAUUAAUUUUGUCAUCAUACAGCAUGUAUGCAUUUUAACAAGGUCAUACUCUUUUGGUUUUGGUUUGUUUCCUGGUGUGGAAAAAAAUAAAAUGCUAAAACCUCCACAA